UACAUAGGGUGCAAGCGUUGUCCGGAUUUAUUGGGCGUAAAGAGCUCGUAGGUGGCACAGUUAGUCAGAAGUCAAAACGCAGGGCUCAACCCUGCGUCGCUUUUGAUACUGCUGAGCUUGAGUAUGGCAGGGGAGAACGGAAUUCCACGUGUAGCGGUGAAAUGCGCAGAUAUGUGGAGGAACACCAAUGGCGAAGGCAGUUCUCUGGGCCAUUACUGACACUGAGGAGCGAAAGCGUGGGGAGCGAACAGG
rnacentral:rRNA from 1 species